rnacentral:rRNA from 1 species
AACGAACGCUGGCGGCAUGCCUAACACAUGCAAGUCGAACGAGACCUUCGGGUCUAGUGGCGCACGGGUGCGUAACGCGUGGGAAGUCUGCCCUCCUGGUACGGAAUAACUCAGGGAAACUUGAGCUAAUACCGUAUAAUGACUUCGGUCCAAAGAUUUAUCGCCUGAGGAUGAGCCCGCGUAGGAUUAGCUUGUUGGUGAGGUAAAGGCUCACCAAGGCGACGAUCCUUGGCUGGUCUGAGAGGAUGAUCAGCCACACUGGGACUGAGACACGGCCCAGACUCCUACGGGAGGCAGCAGUGGGGAAGUAUUGGACAAUGGGCGAAAGCCUGAUCCAGCAAUGCCGCGUGAGUGAUGAAGGCCUUAGGGUUGUAAAGCUCUUUUACCCGGGAUGAUAAUGACAGUACCGGGAGAAUAAGCCCCGGCUAACUCCGUGCCAGCAGCCGCCGU